GGUCGGGUGGCCGAGAGGCUAGGCAGAGGUCUGCAAAACCUCCCAGAGCGGUUCGAUUCCGCUCUCGACCU
rnacentral:tRNA from 1 species